UACAGAGGGGGCAAGCGUUGUUCGGAAUUACUGGGCGUAAAGGGCGCGUAGGCGGCCUGCUAAGUCGAACGUGAAAUCCCUGGGCUCAACCCAGGAACUGCGUCCGAUACUGGUUGGCUUGAAUCCGGGAGAGGGACGUGGAAUUCCAGGUGUAGCGGUGAAAUGCGUAGAUAUCAGGAGGAACACCGGUGGCGAAAGCGCUCAUCUGGCCCAAUACUGACGCUGAGGCGCGAAAGCUAGGGGAGCAAACGGG
rnacentral:rRNA from 1 species